rnacentral:pre_miRNA from 1 species
UGAGUAUUACAUCAGGUACUGGUUGAACUUGGGACACCAGUACUUCUGUAACACUCUCC